GUUAAUGUAGCUUAAUAAUUUAAAGCAUGACACUGAAAAUGUCUAGAUGGGUAAUCAAUCUACCCCAUAAACA
rnacentral:tRNA from 1 species